AACUCCUGAUCUCAUGAUCCACCCAGCUUGGCCUCCCAAAGUGCUGUGAUUACAUGCAUGAACCACCACACCUGGCCCGAGACUUAAGUUUUAUCUAUUUUGUCAAUAUUAUAAUAAUAAGCCACCUCAAAUCUAUAAUGUAAAAUGAGUAACAGUAGUAUAAAUAUAAUAAACUAGGAAAAAGGAAAUUACAGAUGAUAGUAGGUACUGGAGCUGAAGUAUUAAUGAUAAGUUGGGACUGGGAAACCAUUUAUAAAGCUUAUAAAUAAUGAAAAAUAAUGAAAUAAUGAAAAAAUGGAAGACCCAGAGGAGAUCCUUUGGAAGGUUGGGGCAGAUUUGUAAGAGAUAAAACAGGACUUGGUUCCCUAAGACGUGGAGAAGGCAGGCUCAAUUUCUGACUGAAAUUUCCAGUUUUAAUCUCUGUGAGGCCUAACUUAUUUCCUGUCCUUAAAAAUUCUUGAAAACGCCUGUGGUAUUCUUCAGUUUCUUUUUCCUUAAGUACCUAUUCCAUCAACCAAAUGCUGCAUAAGACGACAUAGAUUCAGAAUAUAGGAUAUUCUGAAGACGAAUUUGGGAAACACACAGGUCUGAUCAUGUUGAAUUUGAGGUUAGAAUGUCCAGUGGGCAUUUGACUGUUCAAAACCUCUGGGUUAAAAAUUUUAAAUUCUUGACCAUAGUUGAAAUUGUAAAAGCAGAUGAAAUCUUCUAUUGAGAGUGAGAAUAGCAGAGGGCUUUGGAAUUAACCAUGAAACCAGUAUCAGGGGCGGGCUGUCUGACUGGCCAAGGACAGAGGAUCUAGUGCUAGAAAAUUAACACAGAAUAGAGUUAGAAGGAGAAUCAGAGGAGGUGAUGUCCACAAAGUCUGGGUAGUACAGUUCCAAGUCUGGGUAGUCAGUGUCAAGUGCUCCAGAAAGAUCAAGUACCUUGGGAGUGAGUAUCCAUUGCAUUUAGCAGUGAGGUCACUGAUGACCUUUGCCUGCUAGCGUGGUUUCUGUGGAGAUAAGGUCAGAAUUGAGAGUCUAUUUCAGUGGGUCAGAGAGAAAAUGCAAAGGAAGAAAAUGAAAAAUUUAUCAUUGUAUCCCCCUGAGCUAUCAGAAAUGUAGUGGGAAGAGAUGCAUGAUUGAGGGCUGAAAUAGACCUUAGAGGUAUUCAAAUAGCAACUCCUUAUUUCAACACCUGAGGAAAUUAUUAAUAGCACCCCCCAAAAUUUAGUAGUUUACAUUGUGAUAGAACAGACAUUGGCAGAUAGAACAGACAGCGUCUAGGUCUUCUCAUUCCAAAUCUGCCAGUAUACAUAGGCAAACUCUUAACCCAAAAAGGAGUUAAAAAUUGCUUUAAUAGUUUCCUUUGACUUUUGAAAUGUAUUCUUUGUUAGAUAUAGAAAGGAAUACAUUAUGGCUGUGCUAGAGCAUAUUUGUCUACAUACUCAGUGUAUUGUACAUGCGAAAAUAGGUUGAUAAAAAGCCACUGGCUAGAUCUGGAGCCAAAUUCCAAAUUCAGUCAUGUUGGAAAUAUGCAUAACUAAAUCAAUAUAUGUAUUUAUAAUUAAUUCAGUAAGAAACUUUAGGAUACUAUGGUUUUGUUUUUGAUUAGGAAGAAUCAUUAAUAUUUUAAAAUAAUGUUAUACAAGUACAUAUUGAAUUAGAAAUAUAAAUAUUGAAUCGUAUAAUAACCAAUCUUAUUUAGGGGUGGUAUGUCUUAUCCUUGGGCAGUUGUAUGAAAAUAAAAUAUUCACAAAAUGUAUUUUUGAGUACCAUACUAGAAUCUUCGGUUUUUGGUAUAAGAGCACCACCUAUGGGUUUCUCAUGUACUUGAAAUUUUUUUCCUAAAACAAAACCUAAUAAAAUUCUUUCUAGUUUUUCCCUAUAAUUAGAAUAUCGAUUUAGUCAAAGGUUAGGAAUGUUCUUUGUCAUAGACUACUCCCACCUUGUUUUUGGCUGUAUGUCACUGCUGUUAAACCAUUUAAUAAAUAGUUGAGUACUUAAUAUGCUAGUACAGCGUUAUAAUUCUGAGUUGAAUGUAAUUUAACUCAAAAUUGUAUUCUCUUUAAUGUAGGUGAAUCUUUUAAUACAAAUGAACAAUUUUCCAUAUUCUGGGGAAAGGGUAAUGAUUGUUUUUGGCUGUUUAUUUAUAUGUUUGUUUAUAUUUUCAUGAACUUGAGAUUUCCUUUAGCUUACUACGACUCCAGAAUGCUAUGGUAGGAGAUAAUGAAAAGUCUCGCUCUGUCACCAGGCUGGAGUGCAGUGGCGCUAUCUCAGCUUACCGCAGCCUCCGCCCCUCAGUACUCCAGACUGUACUCCAUCCAGUCUGGAGACAGAGCGAGACUCCAUCUAAAAAAAAUUCACUCAGGUUCAAGUGAUUCUCCUUCCUCAGCCUCCUGAGUAGCUGGGACUACAGGCGCACCACCACACCCAGCUAAUUUUUGUAUUUUUUGUAGAGACAGGGUUUCACCGUGUCCGGGAGAAAAGAAGGUGUUAUAAAUAACUUAGCCAUCCUUUUAUUAAAUUAUUGUAAUAAUAACUCAGAGCAAAGUGGAAGCAAACUGGCAGUUUAUUAUUAAUAAACUCUUAAAAAAGAAUUACAUUUGGAUACAUUUAGUCUUUUUCUAAAACAUCAUUUAUUAAAAUUAAAAAUUUUUUGUCAGGGAGAUUUACUAAUGAAAGAGCAGCAAAAAAAAAAAAAAAAAAAAAAAAAAAGGGAAGCUUUGACUAUGCCUUGGCAAUGAGAUGAAUGCUAAGCCCUUGAUGUAUCUGUGUGCUGUAUGCUAUCAAUCUGUUCUGAAAGCGAUUCAAAACAGAUUCCCUUUGGCAGUGGACCCUGAUUCCAGGGCAGAUCCAUUUUUAGAUAUGAACUUUUUUUCUGCAGUAGAAUAUACUUUUAAGGCUCUGAUGGCAUGUUUUCUUCAGGGAAUAGGUUAUUCUAUAGAAAUAAGGAUUGACUUUAAGUAACAUAGCUUGUUUCAUUUUGAUCAUUAUGGAUAAAAUUCUUUAAAUUACACAGUAUACUUCCUAGCAUUCUUAACCUAAAUUGAACAGAGUAUAACCUUUGUUACGGGAGAAAAAAA